rnacentral:rRNA from 1 species
AUACGUAGGGUGCAAGCGUUAAUCGGAAUUACUGGGCGUAAAGCGUACGCAGGCGGUUUUGUAAGUCAGAAGUGAAAUCCCCGGGCUCAACCUGGGAACUGCCUUUGUGACUGCAAGGCUAGAGUCCGGGAGAGGGGGGUGGAAUUCCCGGUGUAGCGGUGAAAGGCGUAGAUAUUUGGAGGAAAACCGAUGGCGAAGGCAAUCCCCUGGGCCUGUACUGACGCUCAUGCACGAAAGCGGGGGGAGCAAACAGGAUUAGAUACCCUGGUAGUCCACGCCCUAAACGAUGUCAACUGGUUGUUGGGUCUUCAUUGACUCAGUAACGAAGCUAACGCGUGAAGUUGACCGCCUGGGGAGUACGGCCGCAAGGUUGAAACUCAAAUGAAUUGACGGGG